GGUCGCGUGGCCCAAUGGGUAUGUCCAAUCACUCGGAUUCCUCCUCGAGGUUUCCAUCCUCUCAAAUAGAAACUUUCAAUACUAACAAGACCUCAGCAAGGCGUCUGACUACGAAUCAGAAGAUUCUGGGUUCGAUCCCCAGCGUGAUCA